GACGUAGGGGGCGAGCGUUGUCCGGAUUUAUUGGGCGUAAAGAGCUCGUAGGCGGCUCAGAAAGUCGGGUGUGAAACCUCCAGGCUCAACCUGGAGACGCCACCUGAUACUGCUGUGGCUAGAGUCCGGUAGGGGAACACGGAAUACCCGGUGUAGCGGUGAAAUGCUUAGAUAUCGGGUGGAACACCGAUGGCGAAGGCAGGUUACUGGGCAGUUACUGACGCUGAGGAGCGAAAGCAUGGGUAGCGAACAGG
rnacentral:rRNA from 1 species